rnacentral:rRNA from 1 species
UACGGAGGGUGCAAGCGUUAUCCGGAUUCACUGGGUUUAAAGGGUGCGUAGGUGGCUUUGUAAGUCAGUGGUGAAAGCCCGGAGCUCAACUCCGGAACUGCCAUUGAUACUGCUUAGCUUGAAUCAGGUCGAGGUGGAUGGAAUAUUACAUGUAGCGGUGAAAUGCUUAGAUAUGUAAUAGAACACCAAUUGCGAAGGCAGUUCACCAGGCCUGUAUUGACACUGAGGCACGAAAGCGUGGGGAUCAAACAGG